rnacentral:rRNA from 1 species
GUCUGGUGCCAGCAGCCGCGGUAAUUCCAGCUCCAAUAGCGUAUAUUAAAGUUGUUGCAGUUAAAAAGCUCGUAGUUGAACCUUGGGCCUGGUUGGCCGGUCCGCCUCACCGCGUGCACUGGUCCGACCGGGUCUUUCCUUCUGGGGAGCCGCAUGCCCUUCACUGGGUGUGUCGGGGAACCAGGACUUUUACUUUGAAAAAAUUAGAGUGUUCAAAGCAGGCCUAUGCUCGAAUACAUUAGCAUGGAAUAAUAGAAUAGGACGUGUGGUUCUAUUUUGUUGGUUUCUAGGACCGCCGUAAUGAUUAAUAGGGAUAGUCGGGGGCAUCAGUAUUCAAUUGUCAGAGGUGAAAUUCUUGGAUUUAUUGAAGACUAACUACUGCGAAAGCAUUUGCCAAGGAUGUUUUCAUUAAUCAGUGAACGAAAGUUAGGGGAUCGAAGACGAUCAGAUACCGUCGUAGUCUUAACCAUAAACUAUGCCGACUAGGGAUCGGGCGAUGUUAUCUUAUGACUCGCUCGGCACCUCACGAGAAAUCAAAGUCUUUGGGUUCU